rnacentral:rRNA from 1 species
GACGAACGCUGGCGGCGUGCUUAACACAUGCAAGUCGAACGGAAAGGCCCUGCUUUUGUGGGGUGCUCGUGUGGCGAACGGGUGAGUAACACGUGAGUAACCUGCCCUUGACUUUGGGAUAACUUCAGGAAAUUGGGGCUAAUACCGGAUAGGAGCUCCUGCUGCAUGGUGGGGGUUGGAAAGUUUCGGCGGUUGGGGAUGGACUCGCGGCUUAUCAGCUUGUUGGUGGGGUAGUGGCUUACCAAGGCUUUGACGGGUAGCCGGCCUGAGAGGGUGACCGGCCACAUUGGGACUGAGAUACGGCCCAGACUCCUACGGGAGGCAGCAGUGGGGAAUAUUGCACAAUGGGCGGAAGCCUGAUGCAGCAACGCCGCGUGCGGGAUGACGGCCUUCGGGUUGUAAACCGCUUUCGCCUGUGACGAAGCGUGAGUGACGGUAAUGGGUAAAGAAGCACCGGCUAACUACGUG